AGGUCCUCACAACCCCAUGAGUUUGGCUCGGCCCGUCAGUGAGUAGGAGCUCUAUGAGGAGCGAGAGUUGAAGACGGAGCAACCGAGACCCGUGGUGAACUACUCCCACCUCCCUCUUCCUCAGCCUAAACCCAUCUUCCUCUGCCUCGCUGCUUCUCGUGGGAACCGCAUGCCGCCAUGUCUCUCUUCGGCUCACCCACCCCCUUCCUCCUCCUCCUCCUCCUCCUCUUCCUCCAGCAGCUGCCUCCCUGUCAGCCGGAGUCCGAGCGCACCGAGCCCAGCGGCGACCCCAGCCUGAGAUCGGUCUCGCCCUCCAUGUUCCCCUCUUCACCUCCGUCCUCCAUGCCCUAUGGUAACAGAACCACGUCCAGCAGAAAAGAGAAGUGUGAGGAGGCGACGGUGUGCAGGCCCGGCAUCCUGCUCCCCGUCUGGCAGCCCAACCGGCCGGGGCUCGGCGACCAGGUGGCCAGAGCUGUGGUCUACUUUGUGUCGCUCAUGUACAUGUUCCUGGGGGUGUCCAUCAUCGCCGACCGCUUCAUGGCGUCUAUAGAGGUCAUCACAUCGCAGGUGAGAGCGA